GACGAACGCUGGCGGCGUGCUUAACACAUGCAAGUCGAACGGAAAGGCCCUGCUUUUGUGGGGUGCUCGAGUGGCGAACGGGUGAGUAACACGUGAGUACCCUGCCCUUGACUUUGGGAUAACUUCAGGAAACUGGGGCUAAUACCGGAUAGGAGCUCCUGCUGCUUGGUGGGGGUUGGAAAGUUUCGGCGGUUGGGGAUGGACUGGCGGCUUAUCAGCUUGUUGGGGGGGUAGUGGCUUACCAAGGCUUUGACGGGUAGCCGGCCUGGGAGGGGGACCGGACAACUGACAACUGGGAUAAGGCCCAGACUAGAAGCGGACGCAAGGGUGGAGAGGAUUACACAGUGGGCGGGAGCAAGAUGUGACAAAGCCGCGAGCGGGAAGACGUGAUGGGGGUUGUGAACCGAUGUGGCCUGAGCCGAGGCGAGAGUGACGGUACCGGGUAAAGAAGCACCGGCUAACUACGUG
rnacentral:rRNA from 1 species